GGAGGGUAUAGCUCAGGGGCAGAGUGUGUGCUUAGCAUGCACAAGGUCCUGGGUUCAAUCCCCAGUACCUCCA
rnacentral:tRNA from 1 species